rnacentral:rRNA from 1 species
CGUUCCCGGGUCUUGUACACACCGCCCGUCACACCACGGGAGUUGGGGGCGCCCGAAGCCGGAUUGCUAACCUUUUGGAAGCGUCCGUCGAAGGUGAAAUCAAUAACUGGGGUG